CCGGCUAGACUUCGGCAUCGGAAUUCCCACUUUUCGGCAGAAUCUCGGAUGUCGAAACCCUCUAGAAGGGUAAAAUAUAGUUUUCUAAAGUGUUUUCAUGUGUUUUCAUAGUUUUAAUAAAGGAAGAAAUUGGGUUUUUAAAGAAAAGACCAAGGAAGGAAAAAGCCAGGUUCGGCUGCCGAACCUCAUGUUCGGCCGCCGAACAUUGGCCUCUUGCGGAGGCACCUUUGGCCCCUGAAUGUGGUCUGGCCAGCCA
rnacentral:lncRNA from 1 species